UGCACUGGUUCUCCACUUACAGGAUAUCAGGCUUCCUCUCAUUUUGCUACGGCAUAUCUUCAAAGAGCUUCUUAAUACAACUUCAUAGCAGUUUCCAGGUGAUGCUGAGGCUGCUGAUUUGGGGACCUCACUUUGAGAAUGAUGGGCAGUGGCUAAGUACACCAACUCUCGUGCGAGACUGGCUGAGUUCACGUCCCAACUAUACCUCCUCACUACAUAUAUGAUCUGGGAUCUGUCCUUACAUUCAUUGCCUGCUGAGACAACCCACAGGGCUUGCUGAGGCAAAAGGAAAAAUAAACCCUUAAGGCUCAGAUGAAAACGACUACAACUCAAAUCCUGAAAGAGGCUUCUAAGUCAGAGUAAUGAGGAGCAUGGGCAGUGAGGAGCAAAGCUCAUACUACGAUGGGGGGCUGUAGCUGCUGGACAGAGAACAAGGACAGUUUGCCCCCUUCUGUGCCUUGGGCCAUUACCACUACGGCCCCCUCCUUUUCACACAGAUUCCCUCUCUUCUUGUUUCUUCCCAUUCCUCCUGUGUCCCAUGGCCCCAUGUUCUUUGUCCCCUAGAGUCUGCAAAAAGGAGAAAGAGCCCCUAUUUCCUCAAACCAUCAAGGGCAAGGAUCUUGUCUGACUUGGGAAUAAAAGGACAAAUCCAUGAAUAAACAAAAUUGUUGCAUAGAGGGAAGUAUUAUGUUGAUGGGCCUCAAUGUAAAUCAUCAAGAAGGAUUGUUUUUCAUCUCUUGUCUAGAGGGGAACAAGGAAGAUGUCCAUUGGUUGCUGUUGUCUGCCCAUCAAAGGCUUGAGCCAGGACAGAGUCUAGAAAUGAGGAGGCAUUCUAAACAAUGAAUAGCACCACAGAGCUCUACAUGUUGAAAACAAUAGCUAACCUUUCUCGCUGCUUCAGGAUUUUGCUGCUGAUAAUUUCAGAUGACAUCUCUGCUUCUCUUCUUUUGUUCCUUUCCACAUUCUUCACCACACCAUUCAUGCUGACAGUCCAUUCAUGUUGCUAAUAGUUCUAUGCAAAAUGCAACCAUUAGCAAGGAAGGGCUUUGCUACUGGAUGAAGAGACAGUAUAAUGUAGUAUAAGAGUGUGGACAAGUGCUGUCCGAUGGAAAUAGAUGGCAAGCCGUGAAUGUCAUUGAAAAUUUUCUCAUGGCCAUAUUGAAAAAGAAAAGAAAUAGAUGAAACUAAUUUUAAUCAUCUCUUAUUGAACCCUGUGUAUCCAAAAUAUCAUUUCAACAUGUAAUCGAUAAAAAAAAUUGUUAAUGACAUAUUUUAUAUGUUUCAUACUAAGUUGUCAAAAUUUAGUGUGCAUUUUAUACUUAUAGUAUGUCUCAGUUCUGACUGGCCACAUUUCAUUGGCUUAACAGCGACAUGGGCUGGUGGGCACUGGCAGUGCAGAUAUGGGCUCUAUAGCCAGAGUACCUAAGGGUGUAAUUCUGGGAAAGUUACAUAAUCUCUGUGCUUCAGCGUCCUCAUCUAUUAACUGGGGAAAUGGUAGUCCCUACCUCAUUUAGAAUUGUUAUGAGGAUUAAAUGAGCACUUAGGUCAUUGUCUGACACAGACCUGGCACUCAGUAAAUGUUAGCUCUUAUCCUCAGAUAUACAUUUAACCACAUCCUUAUAAUGAUCAAUGCAAUCUUUCAGUAAGGACCUACUCUAGGCUUUCUAAGUAGGGACUGUAUGUCUGAGAUCUUGCAAUGAUGAAAAUCACAUGCCACUUCACAAUUCCUCUGUCACUUCAAACAAAGGCUAUCCGGGAGAGUUUGAUCUGAAGAUGUGCUUUUACAAAGCUGGGUAACCUGUAACUUGACAAACUUCUUUAGACUAUUAAGUCUGCAAAUAGUUUAUCACUGAAUUUUCCAGAUAAGCAGUAUUAUAUUUUUAUUGGGAUAUAAAAUUAGGUUCACAGCUAUAAAAUUAUCCCAGCUUGCUUUUUCAUGCUCUCUUACGAGAAGUGAAACCACGCUUCACUACAGUAAGAAGAUAGCACUCGUCUUCCUGAGACUAUGGCUUACAGCCACAAAUCCAUAUUAAUAUCACAGGAUAUAUUUGGGGGCUUGAGCAGCAUGAUACAUAAAUUAUUAC